GAUGAACGCUGGCGGCGUGCCUAAUACAUGCAAGUCGAACGAGGUGCUCUUGUAGCAAUACGAGGGUAUCCUAGUGGCGAACGGGUGAGUAACGCGUUGGUGACCUGCCCCAAAGUGUGGGAUAACAGUCCGAAAGGAUUGCUAAUACCGCAUGUGGUCCCCGGAUUUAGAAACCGGUGACUAAAGCAGCAAUGCGCUUUGGGAGGGACCUGCGUCCCAUCAGCUAGUUGGUGAGGUAACGGCCCACCAAGGCUACGACGGGUAGGGGGCCUGAGAGGGUGGCCCCCCACAAUGGAACUGAAACACGGUCCAUACACCUACGGGUGGCAGCAGUAGGGAAUAUUGCACAAUGGGCGAAAGCCUGAUGCAGCAACGCCGCGUGAGCGAUGAAGGCCUUCGGGUCGUAAAGCUCUUUUCUGGGAGAUGAGAAAGGACAGUAUCCCAGGAAUAAGUCUCGGCUAACUACGUGCCAGCAGCCGCGGUAACAC
rnacentral:rRNA from 1 species